UUAAUUGAAGCCAAAGGGGAGAGGCAUCUUAAUGUUAAUAAGAAGAAUGAAUUUAUUUGUCCAAUUAAA
rnacentral:tRNA from 1 species